rnacentral:lncRNA from 1 species
UUUGAUAAAAGUGGAAAAACCCAAAUCUCAACUAGCAAAUAAGUAGGAAUCAAGGAACUACUUACCUGCCCAUCUUUAGCAAAUAACUUCUAGCAUUAUAGAUACCUGACGACAGGAGAAAAUCAGUACACAGCCAACAUUGAACCCCGAAAAUUGCAAAGUUAUCAGUUCAAUAUUAAAUUGUGGAAUUGAAAAGCAAGCUUAAAUGUGACUAACCUAAUUGAGCAUACCUUCUGGAGCUUCCUUGAUUCCAGAGACGGUGGAAAUUCAUGGAAAACUCUCAAGAGACUCCCAUGGAACUCUCUAUAUCCGUUGCUAGUGAGGUGUUAAUAGAUCCAAAAACAUGGUAAGCUUAGCUGAAUCUGACGCCCUAACAGACCACCUAGCACAUUCAGGACCGGAAAUGAAACUGCAGCCAAAAGGCAUUAAGGAUGGAGCCAUACCAACUUGAAAAUCUGAAUAUCUAACUCUGUUUACAGAAUGAUUAGGAUGUUACUCAGGUCGUAAAGUCAGAAAAGUGUGGAAUGGGAGUGACUUUGGCCCUGUGUUGUGUCUAUCAAUUCCAACAUCAUUACAAUUGAAGAUCUGGCCACCUAAAAUUUCAUGAUGAACUUGAAAGCCCCCCAGCACUAGUUUGGAAGCUUUAAGUUCUAACAGAAAAUUCUGUACGAAUCAAAAGGGUUUCUUGUAGUUGGUCUAGCAUGACAUUAAUAACUGGAAGAAUUAACUUCAUCCAAUUUAUUGGCAAUCUCUCACGUCCUGAAUCUUCUGAGGAACCUGGUUUCUGGAUUAGCUUCAGUUCUGAGUGUCUCUUCCAUCAAAUUUUCCUGGAGAAUCAAACUGAACAAAGCUCUUAUCAUGGUGCCACAUAGAUGUGGGAGAUCCUAAAUUGGAAAAAGUUCCACUUAACUGUGACCUAAUAAGGUUACUAGCUUUUGGUCCUUCUCCCUGUAUGGUCAUUGGAUGAUCUGUGAAAGCCUCGCCUCUCACUGGCAUAAAUUUCAUAUUAUUCCUCCGGGUG